rnacentral:rRNA from 1 species
AGCUCCAAUAGUGUAUCUUAACGUUGUUGCAGUUAAAAAGCUCGUAGUUGAAUUUCUGUUGGGAACUUAGCACUAUGGUGCUAGGAUCUACAACAUCCGCCUAGGGAACGUCGCAUGUCCUUUCUUGGUCUGCGGCGGAAACUGGCAUUUUACUUUGAAGAAAUUAGAGUGUUUCUAGCAGGCUAUGCUUGAAUACAUCAGCAUGGAAUAAUAGAAUAGGACAAAGUCCAUUUUUAUUGGUGAGGGAUUUUGUAAUGAUUAACAGGGACAGUUGGGGGCACUCGUAUUCAUUUGUCAGCGGUGGAAUGCUUUGAUUAGGUGAAGACGAACUAAUGCGAAAGCAUUUGCCAAGGAUGUUUUCAUUA